rnacentral:rRNA from 1 species
AUGGACGACCCGCAAGUGAUCCUCGGCCUCUCCAGGAGCGAAGUGUGCGCCAGAAUGGUGCACAACGGCAUGGAUAGCGAUAUGAUGGAGUACGGCUAUAACCUGAUGCUCUACUGCGUGUACGCCUACAUCCCGGACCCGCCCGUCACCCCCGCGGCCACCCUCUCGCUACCCGGUGCGCCAUCAGUCCCCGACGGCGUCGACCGCAUCAGUCGCCUCCCUGACAAGCCAUCUGCUCCCGGACGGCGGCGCGUCCGAGCCGUUCAUCAUCAGCGCCCCCUCUCCCCGCGCCGUCACCGCCGCGGUCUCCAGCGCCCUCGCGGCGCACCUAGGGCCUUUCCGCUGCGUCCACCUCACCUGCAGCACCAUGGACGAGCACCGAGGCGAGAUGACGCGCUGGCUCGACAUCCUCGUCGCCAAGGGGACCUGCGCCUCCCCGCCACACUCUUCAGCUGCGCCUCCCUCACCCGCCUCUAUCUUGGCAUCUUUAGGCUCCCAGACACCGCCGCCGUGCCACGCGGCGCCAGAUUCCCCAACCUCCGGGAGCUAAUCCUCUGCUUGAAUACCAUGGAAGAGCGUGAUCUUGCCUUCUUUCUUGAAAGAAGCCCCGUCCUGGAGUUGCUCUUCAUCAUGGGAAACCGGGCCGGUAGAGUGUGCCUCCGCCUUGUUAGCCACAGCAUGCGGUGCGUUCAGCUUGGCUUUUACUUCUUGGAGGACAUCGAUGUGGUGGAUGCUCCUCGCCUGGAGAGGCUCUUUCAGUUUGACGAGCUUGCCCAUUCCCACAGGAUGGACAAUACCACUCACCCUAGGAUCAAGAACAGCGCUUCUAGGAUCAAGAUUGGCCGUGCACCUAACCAGGAUAUCUUGAGCCAGGAGUGCAAGAUUUGGGGAUUAGGAACACUAUUGUUGUGGUAA